UACGAAGGGGGCUAGCGUUGCUCGGAAUUACUGGGCGUAAAGAGUGUGUAGGCGGUGCUCUAAGUUCGGUGUGAAAUCUCCCGCUUAACUGGGAGGGUGCGCCGGAAACUGGAGUGCUUGAGCGCGGGAGAGGAAAGCGGAAUUCCUGGUGUAGCGGUGAAAUGCGUAGAUAUCAGGAGGAACACCUGUGGUGUAGACGGCUUUCUGGACCGUAGCUGACGCUGAGACACGAAAGCGUGGGUAGCAAACAGG
rnacentral:rRNA from 1 species